ACUACAAGGACUUUGUGAUUCCUUUAUGCUCAGAUGUGUUGUGAUGUGUUGUGUUUUAUCUCAGUCUGUAUGUAUACCCUCAAACUACACUCAGAAGCGAGGUUUGUGGAUGGUGCACCACAGUUUGUGAGCUAACAGAAAGGGGUCGGUUCCCUGAGCCAGAAGACACUGGGGCUUAUGGAUCUUCACACAAAUGACACCCCAGCCCUGCCUGGCUUCACAGACACCCACCUCUCUUCUAAGCACUUGAAGACCUCAGUACUUUCACUGUUUCUAUCACAACCAGAGGCUGCAGUUUUGUUGCUGAAUUUUUGCUGAACGACUGAGCAAAAGGACAACUGAUCUCAAGAGGGUGUCCCUGCACUAGGGAUAUUCAGAGACUAAAACUCUUCCAAAGGAGAAAAGAGCCCAGUGCCUGAAACCCCAAACAACUGUCAUGUGCAGUGCUGGUUGUUGAUAGAGGAAUAUGGUUCAGAAGGUGUCCAUUCUUUACACGGAGGCUCCUCUGUGCGCUUAGCCUGCUGCAGCUGUCUGCACAAUCUCUGGCGUCACCCACCCGCCCCAGGCAGCUGGGUGAGACACGUCUCAGGUUUUCUGCCUACACUGGAUGCUGGGUGGAGGAUCCCAGGAGUAGACGGAGUUUAAACAGGCUAUUGCAAAUUCCCCUGCAAAUCAUGAAAUUCGGUGAAUCUGUGAUUUGCCUGUGUCCUCCCAGAAAAGCCAAGAUAAAUUUGCUCAAAAUCC